rnacentral:lncRNA from 1 species
GGGGCAGGAGACCGGAGGGAGUUGAGGUUUUGCACCCGAUAAGGAGACGCAUAAAGGGAACGGGUGGGGACACAGGGCCCCUGCAGCCUCAGGAGGAUCAGCAGUGGCCUGGUUUACUCGUGUCGUCAUUCGUCGUGGGCACCUUGUCCCCGGGGCCGGCCAGUUACUUGGCCUCCUGGCUCAUCAUCCUGCCGGAAGCAUCUCCAGCUUGGGGAUGUUGGAGGGUCCCUGGCCCCACCUGGCUGGGGAUGGAGUGUAAGCCGAGGAGAUGCCAUGUGAGGGUGCAGCGAGGAGUUGGGCUGUCUAAAAGCAAAGAAAGAGAUUGCAUCAGACACCGCAUCUGCUGACACCUUGUUCUUGGACUUCCAGCUUCCAAAACCGCGAGAAAUAAAUGUCUGUGUCUAAACCCCAACCCUACCACCUCAACUGCCGUGUGUGGUGUUUUGUGAUGGCAGCCCCAGCUGACUGAGACACCUGGUUAGACCGGAAUAAGCAGUACCUGAGUCCCUUAAGAGUGGCCAAAGAAGAAAGAAUCCACUGAGUUGACAUUCCAGUUCAGCUGCAAUCGGUAGCAGUCACCAUUGAACAUCCUUGAAGCAAUUCUUCCAAAAUUACCUUGCAUCAAAGACUGCACAAGAACUGCUCUAAGCGGAAGGACUGAUGUCGGCAACCAGGGUUCCACCAGGGGCUGCAGACAGCCCUUGACCUUCAGAAGUAACCAAAUUUACUCACGUAGGCCAGGAAUUUCUAUGACGUGUUCCAAAUUCAGCCUCUCACUGAACACUUCCAGAGCAAGGCAACAUAAACAUCUGCAAGAAGAACAUUGUGUGAGAAAUAUCAAGUGAGAGUGGAAGAGUCUGCGGAGGGCCUCCCUGGGGCUCACCUGUGCUUUUGCCUGAGCUUCACCGUGUCAAGGAUGCAGCACUUUUUCCCUCUGGAGGAAGCAGCUUUCACCUUGGAAGAAUCUUGACCUUGCCAUUCAAAGUCACCAGACAGGGAAUCUGCCAGUGCCUUGAUCUUAGACUUCCCAGCUUCUGUAACUGUGAGCAAUAAAUGUAUGCUGCUUAUAAACUAUCCAGUCUCAUGCAUUUUGUUAUAGCAAUAUAAACAGAUGAAGACAGACAUAAACAUAUCUUUUUGAGAGAUGCAAUGCAACCCAUACCACCAGGAUUGCCACAUGUUUGCUGAUUUCACCUGGUAGCAAGGCUUAGCUAUCUUGGCUUGAAUGUAAUACCUCCAUCUUUUCUCUUGGUCAUCCUCUUUAAGCAGAGGACUUUUAUCUACCCAAGCAGAAUCCUGUGUUCUUGCUAUUCGAAGUGCAGCCCAGCCUCCUGCAGCCACCACAUCACUUGUGAUGCUUGACAGAAAUGCAGACUCUCUGUUCCCACCUCAAACCUACUGACUUGGGAAUCUGCAGCUUACCAAGAUCUCCAGGUGAUCCACGUACACGUCAAACUUUGAAAAGCAGUGGUUUG